rnacentral:rRNA from 1 species
UACGUAGGGGGCAAGCGUUGUCCGGAAUCAUUGGGCGUAAAGCGCGUGUAGGCGGCCCGGUAAGUCCGCUGUGAAAGUCGGGGGCUCAACCCUCGAAUGCCGGUGGAUACUGUCGGGCUAGAGUGCGGGAGAGGCGAGUGGAAUUCCUGGGUGAUAGCGGGUGAAAUGACGCAGAUAUCAAGGAGGAACACCAAUUGCGAAGGCAGCUGCGCUGGAACGUAACUGACGCUGAGACGCGAAAGCGUGGGAGCAAACAGGAUU